CUCUUGUCGACGUCUUCUGACGACCACAUCCCCAACAAAUUGAUACGAGUAACUGAAAAUGCUAUGUAUAUAGAACAUGGAUGGCUGAAUAUACUUUUAUGCUAGGCCAAGUAGCAAACGAGAAGCAGAAAAUCCAAGGUCUGAAUUAUGUAGGGAAACUGGAGGGUCCACUUCUAAUCUUGGCUUGAAGUCCAUUUUUGUCGGAUACACAAAGUUACUCGUUUCUCUUUCACAUUAGGUUGUUCCUGCUGCAAGGGUGCGUUGUGUGGUCAAGGCCAAUGGAACCUGCUGCCAGGCGUAAGUGAUCACCUACAACAGCAACAACUGCAGUCUCAGCCACAAAUCCCCGCUGGUCAGCCUCGGUCCACAUGGAGCUGCUGCAGGCGUCUUCUCACGACCACGUCCCCGAGCAAUUGCUAUGAGUAACUGAAAAAAAGUGUAUCCCGAUCCACAGAAGAUUGUGCAGCACCACAGGAACGAUGAAAGGUUACGGUAGACGGAAGAAAGAAAUUUGAGUGUGACCAGCUUCGUCGGCAUGUUGAGGAAGAGGUUAUUUCCGUACUAAAAUGCGCACUCCAGGGCGUACCUUU